rnacentral:SRP_RNA from 1 species
AGCCGGGGUGGUAGCGGUACCUUGAACCAACAAUCCGCUAUAGUUGGGGUGAUGUUUCGCAGAGGGUUUCGCUAGUGGAGCAGCCCUUCAUAAGUGACGUUGAGGUCUGGGUCUUGCGCAAUGGGAAUCUGUGAACCGGGUCAGGGUAGGAAUACAGCAGCCCUAAGCAGAACCUCUCAUGUGCCGCAGGGGCGCCUGGACUGAGUUAACUGUGAAGGUAACGUCUGUUGGCGGGAUUCGAAGCGGG